rnacentral:rRNA from 1 species
AUGUCGUCUUCCUCUUCCUCCGGUGCCUCCCAGGCUGGCCCCAAUGGCCAAGUCACGGAGAGGCUCUCCCGCACCAACUACGUCCUCUGGCGCGCGCAGAUCGUGCCGCAGCUGAGGGGCGCAGGUGUCUUCGGCUACGUCGACGGCACGACACCGGAGCCGGCCAGGAUCCUCCACACCAAGGACAAAGAAGGGAAGGAAUCCACCGAGCCGAAUCCCCUCCACUCCAUCUGGGUGCGAGAGGACCAGCAGGUGCUCGGGUACCUGCUAAAUAACCUCACCAAGGAGGUGCUCGUGCAGGUGACCGCGAUCACCACGGCGCGCGAGCUCUGGGCGGCGCUGUCGAGGAUGUUCUCCUCGCAGUCGCUGAGUCGCGUAAACAACAUCAAAACCUCUCUGGUGAAC